rnacentral:lncRNA from 1 species
AUGGGGAGUAGGAUUUUUCCAAACCUAAUCCCCUUCUCGUACUUCUGUCCUCUGCAGCUUUCCCAGGUGGGUGGGUUGAAGGGGAACAGUGAUGCUGUAAGAGGGUCAAAACCACCCCUUGACAAACAAGGAGAAGAAUAUGAUUUGCUAGAGACCCACCUUUCCCAAGCUCUAGCUGUAGUUUCUCAAGCUUCUCCCUCCGCCCACAGGAAUGUCCUGCUGCACGGAGCGCUGUCUGCUCUUUUGUCAUCUUUGCUGCCUCCCUCCCAACCUUCCUUCCUUGAAAAGGCCCACCUUGGCUUCCAUUUCCAAAGAAUCUUGAAGCAGCUUGCCGGGCCACACUGAAGUUAUUCACAUUUCUGGGUGACGGCUCUUCUGCUGACCUCCUUGGCCAUGAUCCAGUGCAGCAGAUGUGACGCUGAGCACAUCACAAAGCAUCAUGUAAGACAGACCCCAGAACUGCUUGCCCUUUGUUCCUACCCCUUGGCAAAAGGCAAUGUUAACUGCUUGCUUUUGAGCAUGGCUGUAUCUCAGGCAAUCAUUUUUCUUCUUUUUUUUAAUGUUUCUUUUUUUAUUAAUCAAUUAAUUUAUUACAUUUAUAGUUAUACAAUGAUUAUCACAAUCCAAUUUUAUAGGAUUUCCAUCCCACAACCCCAGCACAUCCACCCACCCCCCAAACUGUCUCCUUUGGAGACCAUAGUUUUUCAAAGUCUUUGAGUCAGUAUCUGUCCUGCAAAGAAAUUCAUCUGCCCUUUUUUAAGAUUCCAUANAUAGUUUUUCAAAGUCUGUGAGUCAGUAUCUGUCCUGCAAAGAAGUUCAUUCUGUCCUUUUUUAAGAUUCCAAAUCAGUGGGAGAAUUUGAUAUUGGUGUCUCAUUGACUUACUUCGCUUAGCAUGAUAAUUUCUAAGUCCAUCCAUGUUGCUACAAAUGCCGUUAUUUCGUUCCUUUUAAUGGCUGAGUAAUAUUCCAUUGUGUAUAUGUACCACAUCUUCUUGAUCCACUCUUCUGUCGAUGGACAUUUAGGUUGUUUCUGCAUCUUGACUAUUGAAAAUAGUGCUACAAUGAACAUUGGAGUACAUAUGUCUUUGGGAGUCAUGCUUUUCUCUGGAUAGAUGCCCAGCAGUGGGAUUGCUAGACCAAAUGGUAAUUCUAUUUUU